rnacentral:rRNA from 1 species
GAUGGACGCUGGCGGCGUGCCUAAUACAUGCAAGUCGAGCGAAUGACGAGGAGCUUGCUCCUCUGAUUUAGCGGCGGACGGGUGAGUAACACGUGGGUAACCUGCCUGUAAGACGGGGAUAACUCCGGGAAACCGGAGCUAAUACCGGAUGAUGACGAGAAGCGCCUGCUUCUUUUUUGAAAGUCGGUUUCGGCUGACGCUUACAGAUGGGCCCGCGGCGCAUUAGCUAGUUGGUGAGGUAACGGCUCACCAAGGCGACGAUGCGUAGCCGACCUGAGAGGGUGAUCGGCCACACUGGGACUGAGACACGGCCCAGACUCCUACGGGAGGCAGCAGUAGGGAAUCUUCGGCAAUGGACGAAAGUCUGACCGAGCAACGCCGCGUGAGCGAUGAAGGCCUUCGGGUCGUAAAGCUCUGUUGUCAGAGAAGAACAGGUACCGGAGUAACUGCCGGUACCUUGACGGUACCUGACCAGAAAGCCACGGCUAACUACGUGCCAGCCGCCGCAGUAAAAC